rnacentral:tRNA from 2 species
GGGGGGUUAGCUCAGUUGGUAGAGCGAUGCCUUCGCAUGGCAUAGGCCAGGGGUUCGAAUCCCCUAUCCUCCACCA